UGUAAAUCAACAUCUGCAUCAUUACUGAAAGGAAUCUGAUCUCUGGAAGGUGCUUCAACAAAAACUUCACCCUCAGAUUUAUCCAGUAUUCCAAUAGCAAUGGAGUGCAAGUUCUCAUUUUUAGCCUUCUCAUCGAUGGAUGGCUUCCUCCACUCCAGCUUCAGCUGCCAUUGCAUCAGCUCAGGAGGAAUUUGGCUAGGGGAGCUUCUUCUUGGGAAAAGUAUGGAUGGGGCUCAAAAAGUAAGAGGCUUUUAUACUCCUCCAGACUCUUCAACUUCUGUUGGCUGUGGUUCCAAAUGCAACAGUGACAUCUAAUAAUGCUGCUGCAGUUCAUCAGUAUAAAACCUCUACUUAGUUCCUGUUCAUGCAGAAGCAAUUGUUGCCUUUUAUAAUGCAAACUACCAUGUUUCAAAAGUUUAUUAGCAAUGAGAUGAAAACUA